UGGGGAAUUUUGGACAAUGGGGGAAACCCUGAUCCAGCCAUCCCGCGUGUGCGAUGAAGGCCUUCGGGUUGUAAAGCACUUUUGGCAGGAAAGAAACGUCAUGGGUUAAUACCCCGUGAAACUGACGGUACCUGCAGAAUAAGCACCGGCUAACUACGUGCCAGCAGCCGCGGUAAUACGUAGGGUGCAAGCGUUAAUCGGAAUUACUGGGCGUAAAGCGUGCGCAGGCGGUUCGGAAAGAAAGAUGUGAAAUCCCAGAGCUCAACUUUGGAACUGCAUUUUUCACUACCGGGCUAGAGUGUGUCCGAGUGAGGUGGCAUUCCGCGUGUAGCAGUGAAAUGCGUAGAUAUGCGGAGGAACACCGAUGGCGACGGCAGCCUCCUGGGAUAACACUGACGCUCAUGCACGAAAGCGUGGGGAGCAAACAGG
rnacentral:rRNA from 1 species